rfam:Myotis brandtii contig292070, whole genome shotgun sequence.
GCCGGUUUGGCUCAGUGGAUAGAGUGUCAGUCUGCGGACUGAAGGGUACCGGGUUCAAUUCCGGUCAAGGGUA